GCUUCCAGUAUACUUUUACUGAAAGUGUCCACUAAAGGGAACAGCAUUAUUACAACAAAAAGGUCUGCAAGGUCGGCUUACGCUGACGGUAAACACAAAUCUAUGACGUUGGAACGCUGUGGUACUCUCAGUGAAAAAUGAAAUGCCUCCUCGAGAGAGUAGAUACGUGGUUUAAAACGAGCAAUGAGUGGCAACGAGAGGUCUGUAUGGAAUAGUGAUCCAAUGACGUUGAAUACAAUUAUUUAUUGUAAUAUUAAUUAUUGGCAUAAAGGUACUCAUUUUUCGGUUAUGAUAUUCUCGAGACAGUGUAUUUAGAUGAAAAUUCCAGCUUUCGAACCAGUUCUUGUCAAACAGGUUCACGAAUGCAUCCGACCUUACCACUAGAAAAGCACUCGGCAGGCCUAGUCGGAAACAAUAUAGGUUAACUGGCGCCAAAUUGCAUGCGUACCAUGUGGUAGUAGUAGUAGUAGUAGUACACAUUGUGAAAAUAUUUAUUGCGGGAUUCAACCCUACAGACGGGCUAAUUAAUCAUUAGCAGUACAAGUUGCAAUUGCCUCCUAACAAUCCGCAUCCUUGAUGUAUUUUAUUGUGCUGUAUCGGCCUUCUUUUAUGCUCAUUACGCUCUAUUUACAUAAGCCAGAAAUCCUUCAAUUUAUUAUUCUUCAUAUAUUAUAUUGUAGAUAUACCUACACAGUUGAGUCAGCGUAGGAUAGGGCAGGAUUGGUGCAUUUUUUGUAAAAAUUAUUUAUUUAUGUCAGCAGUUUUUACAGUUAUGUAUGCUAUUCAACCAUAAAUUUAUAAUCGAACUACAUUAAUGGAGUCUAACAGUGCCCCUGUAAUGGUUAUGAUCGUCUAACAAGCGACUUUAUCUUAAAUCUGUCAGAUUCAAACGUGUACACAAUAUAUGUGUGUGCACGAAAUCGGCUAACAAUUUUGCCUUCAAUAAAGGCAAGACGUAAUGUUUCGCAAUCAAUGAAAUUAGAACCUAGUUCAUUCGCUCUACCGAUGUAGGUGUUAAUGUCACUCAAUCGGGAAGACACGCUCUGCUAGCACUAGUAUUACUUUAUAUUAAGAACACGUCCGCUUUACCAUAAUCGUGUAGUUUUGUUGCUGUUGUCAUUGAUGUCAUACCUGAGAAGAGAUGGCCUUGUAAUGUAGCGUCGUGUACAUGGACUAACACAGCAUGGAGAAACGAACAGAUUGACUGCUUAAGGCCGUCAGUUCUUGUACGGAAGGUCUGGGAUUCGGUUUAUCGUAUUGGCCUGGCUUAGCAGCACUGACUUUGAUAUGGGAUCUUCUGGGGGAUGGAGGCCGUAGCUUAAAGGUUAGACCAUAUAUAUGCGUUUGCAAGGCCCUGUACAUCGCGCUGUCCUUCCCUAACCAAUCUGUUUAGCUUUCAGAAAAGGGCAGCAGCAAACUUAAAAGAGGUAAUAAUAAAGAGGACUCCGCCUAGUUAACAAGGGAAAGAGACAGCAAAAAAGUAAGGAAGCAGACUGGUGCUAUCACCACCGCCACUGGAGGCCACGUGGACGGGGGUUUGAAUCGGGAAAAUGAAGGCAAGGUAGUUUAUAUACAUCUGGUAGCUAUAAAAGAGACCGCAGCCCAUUUUUACCGUUCGGUGACUCUUCAUUAGAGCUAAUGUUGUUUUGACGGAGAUGCUCUUGCUUCUGCGACAACAAAUUUUUGAUAAUAAAAGAGAGAAAACAACGGAAAUAACUUUUGCGUUAACGUGGUAAUAAUGGUAAUUGACAAAUCAUCAUGGCUGCAUACGUCAUAAUUCAACUAAUCCACAAGGCAUUUGCCACUUUCAUAAUUUGCAGCGUAUUUAUCCCUUACGAAAGGGGCAACGCAACCAUGGGGAUCGUAAGCACGAGACAGUUGAUACAAUAUUUUAUAAUUAAAAAAAAAUAUUGUUAACUAUCAAACAUUAAAGAAUAUUGUCUAUAGUUGUCUACUGUGUCUAGAAAAGAAUUGUGAUGAACCCCUCUUGCACAACUCUCGCUCUGUAAAGACUUGACUGGUUCGAAGGAGCUUCCGUUCUAGGCUCGUAAAGUGUGCAAUGGUUCCCGCGGGCCGCGUAUAUUAUGCAUAGCAACAUACUAAACUGGCAAUAAUGUCGACACCAAGCCGAACCUAUGUACGCGCUAUAAACGUAUCGAAAAUGGCUAUAAACUAAAUACUAAUAGGACCAUUAUAAUAAUUAUCAUUACACAAUUAUAGAUUUCGCAUUGGGGUAAAAACGCAUUUAUAAUCGACUAAAGUAUCAUGUUAGCGUGCUGACAGGUCGUCGGAGAAACUUGACCAUUAGCAUAAGAUGUUGUACUGUGUCAAUUCCAUUGUGAGAAUAUAUGAUGCGACAGAUGGUCAAUAACGUGCUUCUCAUCAAUUCAUGAAGCUUAUCUAUAUUUUACUUGAAAAGCAUUCUUGAUCUCAGUACACAGUGUCUUCUUCUACAAGUCAAGUCGCCAUACUGUUACGUGUUUCGUAACUUAAUGUAAAUGUUUGCCAACAGUGAAGGUUCAUAAAAACUAAUAUCACUACAGGGCUUUAAAACAGGACGAGGUGAAACAGGACUCGAUAACACUGCUGGCUGCCUUAUCUUUCUAUACUUCGAAUUUUGUGUCCAGCAUCGUCGUUAGAAAUGUCGUCAGACGGCUGGUUCCCAGCGCGGAACAAACCACGUGUGUUUAUUCCUGGAUUCGAACCUAGACCACACUUGCAUCACAAUCAUUCUCAUCUAAUAUUAAACAUAUUGAUGACGGUUAUAAAAUAGAAGACAAAACUAGAAGCCUCUAGCUUUGAAGGAGGGACCAAGAUAAUAAACCAUUAUUUGUUUCCUUUUCGUCGAUAUGGGUCGAUAAUUGCGCCGAUGUUUAUAUAGUAUGCCUGACAACUUUGCAACCCGUUUGCCCCGAGCAAAAAAAAUAUUUUAGAAUUUUAAUACAAUCUGAACUGAUUUUCACCUAAUCGCUGCGAGUUAGCAAACAGCGAAAUAGUAUUAAAAUGUAUUUCAUUAUUGAGCUUUAAAUAAUACAAAAGCCCUACACCAGUAGGAACGCAUCAGUAGGCAAGUGGUACUACGUAAUUUAAUGGCUCUUUUGCACAAUAUUUCUAGCGUAGUUGUUUGGGAGCACGUUCUAUUUUGCCUUACAACGGUACGUCCUGUUAAGAGAUGAUAUUAUACAUUGUUAGAUACGGAUUGUAAUGACCAAACUUUUAUAACCUUCGUGACAUCAAAGAGACAACGCGUAGUAAUGAUUAUGGCUUCGAUCGUCCACACCGGAAAGACACGUUUUAACAGACUCAAUUAUUUUGAAAUUUCAAUAAUCGAACAUGUAUUGCUAGGCUAACCGGUACAUGCCAGAAUUUUGCCAUUGACUAAACGCUAGCUAAAUGUAAUAUACAAUAACUAACACAUUACUAAGGACAGUAUCACCUCGUGGUUAACUAAUUGGACCUUUAAUGAUAUUUUGUAGGCUUCUUUGUAUUUCACUGCCGUACUGUUAGGCACAGCAACAGCGAUUACCAAUCUCUUCACAUACCAUAUAAGCAACGAUGGAAAACAUCGUUUGUGUACGAGGCAACACCACUGACGUCCAUCUGCGCGCAUCCGGCUAAAUAAAGGGUGUAGCUUCUUCCAUCAUUUGACAGGAAAAAAAUUGCGUUGAUUUCUCAAAUGAACGACCUCGACUAAACGGGGAAAACAUUUCUAUGAUACUACGUGCUUCGAGAAUGCAUUGUAAGCGCGUUAUAGCUCCCUCUACCACUUUCUCUCUCUCUCUCUCUCUCUCUCUCUCGCACACACAAACAUGCAUGCACGAACGCACGUACGCACACACACACAUACACGUGGACGAUGUGACUCGCGCGUUCUCAACUCUUCCCGUUUCAGUUGCACCUGGCAUGUGGAUUUGGCCCCGCGGCAUUGCAAUAGGUUCCCUUAUAUCCAUAUCCCGCAUUGGUUUCUUCCAAAUUGGAGAACCACAGCUGGGCAAAUACAAUGACGCCUCAUGUAUAUAUUGGUUGCCUGAUAUGUUGUUAUUAGCUAGAGUCGUCUAUAAGCAAGGCAGAGACAGAUUCAUCGAUAGAUAUAUAAUGUUAUGUACAAACAUACAAAUUGCCUAAUCUCCUGGCAGGUAUGUUUUUCCGUACACCCAUUUUGUUUGUGUGAGUUCAUAAUGGGUGCAGAUAUUAUCACCGUGGUGUGACCUCGGUCCUACUUUUGGUUUCGGGCAAACCUAUGGGGCUCCCGUAUUGCAGCAGAGAACCUUUAAUGUCGCAGUUAACUGGGCAGAAAAUCGUUUGGCCUGUUGAUACCAACGGCCGUAAAGCGGCUUAGAGAAGCUCGAUCACUACGUUGUCCGGGUAUUAUAUGUGCACACGUAAAGUUGCACCCUACCACUUGAAAGCAAUUAUCUAACGGUCUGUAAUUAUAAACCAGUCACUUGGCCAAAUGAAAACGCUGGAAUCAUAUACCCUAUUGAACAAUUACUAGUAGUAUGGACCGAGUCGGAUUGAGUUAUCAAACGUUCGUGCAUCCGCCAAAUUAGAGUAAAUAUCUGGAAUCUCGAUGAAUUCUUAAUGAGAUGAGCUGACGAAGAGUUCGAUAAAAGCCGGGAAGCUAGCUAAAGUUUUGGGCUUUGUGAUCAUCGUGAAAUUCAUAUGUUAUACGCAUCAGCGUAUCAUAGAAAUAAUUAAACUGUUAAGUGUUAUUAAAUUAACUCAAAUAUGAACAGCGUAAUCAUUGGACAAUAGUGGAUCUGAAAAGCAGUAUGAUGAGUACGAAUACCAUGUAGUUCUCUGGGCAUGAAUCACUUGUAAUAAUAACGUGACGCGAGGCACUUUACUGAUUUUAAGUAUAUAAACUAUACUGUGAAUUUUAUGAUCAUUACAUACGUAUAAGACUAUCUUAACAAUUUGAGUGCUCUCACUUUGCUGUUCUCUAUCGUUUAUCUUCCCACAUCGUACUAAGCAGUUACUUCAGCGAUGUAAAAUAAAGACUCUCAAACUUUGAGACAGCUGAAGAGUACCUAACAUAGCGUUCACAAGCAUUAAGCGUUUUCUAAACGCGACUUGAGAUUGUCAGUGAAUAGUUACGCUUUCGGUCCAACAUCAAUGAAUUAGAGGGACAUUUAGUGCGAAAGGGCCACUAGUUUUGUUGUGUUAUGAGUUCCGCAUGCCGCACCGUCUGUUUGACUCUUGAACUGUUCCGCUGCCCCCACUCAGUAGCGUAGCCGUUAGCCUUUUCACAAAUUUUGCAGCUGCUGCUGCUUCGGAAACUUCAAUUUCUUUAAUAGACACUGAGACAAGCGUUAAAUGUAAAGCAGCCCGGACGUAAUAGCGACAACGAUAUGAUGAAGUUCAAGUGGAAUAGAGUAAACAGAUGGAAUUAUGUUCUAACACAAACGUGCGUUUAAAAAGACAUCCGUUUAGCUCAUUCUUAUCAUUUCUUUAAGAGGUUUUAGCUGUCCUACUAUUGUCCUCCGAUACCAUUCGGUUCUUCUUAGGGGCGAAGAGAAUUUUCUAAAAAUUCUGUGAAAGUUAUCAUAUCAGUUCUAAAGCUAUUUUAUUAUUUAAAGACCGAAUUUUUUACCGAAAGUUUAAUUAUAAAGUUUUAGAUAUUCCGCGAGAGUAGAAAAUAUUGAUUUAUUACCGAACACUCAUAUACAACUUAUGAGCUUUGUUUCGAGGAGAUCUAGAUUUGUAGCUUUAAAUAUAACACCAAAAAACUAAUGGUUUCCGAGACUCCUCUGAUUGCCACGUUAGCUUGUCAGUGAAUUGCUUCAGGCUGUUUUUCGGGUUCCUCUGUACGAAAACCGGCAGCCCCUUUAACGAUGGCUGGCUAUUACGCAGAUGGAGCUUUGUCCUCGUGAUGAUGUAGUAGUCACGUAUCUACUAAACUUAGAUGCAAGUGAGACGAACUAGAUUAGAAUGACUUCCAUUUUUCGUUUGUCUGUAGUACCUUAGUCACAUAAGAGAUAAUUAUCCAGCUAGGGUAUGACCUAUGAAAAAAUGUGUAUUUAGUUAUAUCGUUUAUACAUACGCGGUCCCGUUUCUGUAAUCACAACCGAAAACUGAAAAGUGUUUCUUCGCCAUCUGCCAAAUGUCAUGUGUAUCUCGUUUCUAUUAGCGUUAUGGAUCGUUGUGGAAGUCUAAACCCACACAGUUAAUCAAUUUUCCGAGAUAAUUUUUUCAAAGAAACUGGCACAUUGCCGUGUUUGCCGCCAAUAAACCACAUUAGCUUGCCAGUAGUGAUCCCUAUCUCUUAAAUAACUAAGAAUGACAAGCGUUUCCGGGGUGUUGGUACAUUCACAAAACAAGAUAUGGCGUCAUUGUUGCGGCAUUCUUUUCACCUCACAGUUUUACAUCGUAAGUGCAGUACAUGUACUCUGUAACUAACGAUUUAUGGCUUCUUCUUAUUUACGGAAUCGUUCUGGCGUAUACCGUGAUUUUUUUAAAGAAUAUGGCACAUUUGGUCAAAUAGCUGGUUUUUUUUUACUUUGCGCAGCUUUGGGGCAGCCACUGGUCAUUUUAAUGGAUCAAGUUCAUAGCGAUCAAUGUUAUAUUUCGGAAACGAGUUCCUCAUAGCCAAAUAAUGAAGUUAUUUAAAAUAACUGAGCAAAAGGGCGAAAGAAGCGUUUCUCUGUAUAGUGUGCAAUCUCUAAAUUGCCAAUAAAACUUUUUUGAGUCGAACUUUUCAUAUAUAUAUAUAGUUAAAGGAUUAUUUGUUUUCUUGUAAUGGCAUUUCUCAAGCGUUUUUUUUCUUUGACAAACAGCAGUGGGCUUGCACACUACAAUACAGGGUGCUGUCUUACAUUUAUUAAAAUAAAAUUAGAAAAUUAUACCCACUAAUCUUCUAUUAGUUACCCUGCCGAACGUUUGAUGUCUAACUGUGGCAAAAAAAGAUACUCGUCUUUUGUGAUACCUAGUAGGUAGUUAGACAAAGCUUUUUCGGUCUCUUCGGGCUAUUUUUGCAAAAUUCCUACGAAUCUGACGAUCGCCUGAUUAAUUUACAGCAUCUUAAUACCUUAGCUUUUGUUCGACUGAGUUUGAAACAAUAUUUUUCGCUACAGGCCAACUCAGCCGCGCCAUUUCUGAACCCGGCUGUAAUUGCCGCUUUAGCGAGUACAGGCUCCGCCAUUCCUGUCGGAUCUCACCGUUGUGCGCCAAUUCCUGCUGUGUCAUGGCGGCAUCAUAUAUGUCACGCAAUUCUAUUCAUUCAAGUAGCGUUCUACUCGCUUGGUUUGACCCACCGAUAAGCCGGAGGGCUGUCUCUAUUCUACGAAGGACCAACGAUUAUUUCAGUUUAUUUUAGCAGCAGUCGUUCCUGUGCAAUACAACAUCUAUAUAGCCUUCAGUCUGUAUAGUUUUGACGUACAAUGUCAAAACAAGGUGUACAUUUGCUUUACGGGUGAGCGCUCCUUCUUACAGUCGUUCAGGGGUAUAUGCGAUUUGGGUGCUGGGUUGAGCACCGCCGCUGGCCGUGAGCACAGCGCUUGUGAGCAGGGCAGUAAAACUAACGACUAAAAGAAGUGCGCUGAUUUGGAUCGUCUGCAAAGAAGGUUGGGCGGUGGCCUACCCGCGGUGGCUGGUGCAGGUGUUGGGGGAGGUGGCGGAAUGCGCGGAGAACACCGGGAGCGCAAGUCGAGUCGCGGCUCCAAGGUGACGAGCGGCCGGGCGGCCCUCGACGAAGAUCGAAUAGCAGACAGGAUAGUGGUAGACCGAGUUGACCGAAUUGACAGGACGGACCGCGAAAGAGAUCGCGGGGCCCACCUAGCCAACGCUAACCUCAGUGCCAUGGCGGCGCAACAGAUCAACAGCCCCGGAGUCCCGCACUUAAUUACCCCGCCCCAACAACAACAGCAGGCGCAAUCCCAACAUCCGCACCAACAGCAUAGGAUACCAUCUGAACAGCAUCGUAGAAACCAUCGGAGUCACCGUAGUCGGGAACGCGAGCGUGACAUAGGAAGCGGCCAUAUGAGCGAUCGCGGUGAACGUGAUCGGGACCGAGGAGGCGAUCGAGGAGUUAUCCCUGAUCACCACCGGGGCGGAGAACGUGGACUUGAUCACCGGGGCAUCGACCGCGAAGGAAUCGAUCAGCAUCCGAGCGAAUGGAAUAGGGGGGAUAGGGACAAAACUAGAGACAGCCAAAAUACGGCUCCUUCACAGAGCUUACAACGUCGAGGUCAAUCAAAAGGUGGUACUCCGCCUGACGUCGUAAAUUCUGUAGUGCCGUUAGACAAACCUCGAAAGACGAGAAAUUUUGUGUUUGAAUCUUCCAAGGAGCGCAUACGUGUAAAGAUCCUCGAGUUAAUAGAUGCUAACUAUGGCCUCUAUGUAUGGCCCUGUGCGCCCGUAUUGGCGCAGUAUAUCUGGUUUUACCGAGAUCACGUAAAGAACAAACGGGUGUUGGAGCUGGGCGCCGGAACGGGCUUACCGGGAAUUCUAGCUGCUUUGUUGGGAGCUCGUGUAACGUUAUCCGACUCUGCCAAUUACCCCCUGAACAUCAGGCACUGCCAGCAAAAUGUCGAAGAAAACGGCCUAUCGACCACAGAGGUACCGGUACUGGGUGUUACGUGGGGUGCAUUUUCUCCGUCUCUCUUUGAGCUUGGCCCAGUAGAUCUAAUAUUGGGCAGUGAUAUACUCUACGACACAAAGGACUUUGAGAACGUAAUCGUCACGGCUAGCUACCUCCUUCACCAGAACCAGCACGCCAGAUUUUGGUCAACUUACCAGAUCAGAAACCCUGAAUACAAUUUGGAGAAGUUGUUGAAAAAGUGGAACUUAGUGUGCAUGCGGGUGCCCCUGGAUCAUUUUGACGCAGACACCCCGUCGAUAGGGGGCUCAAGCUUGCCUGGAGUACAGAAUAUCGAGAUGCUUGUUAUGACUGUCGAUCCCACCCAAGAGGAGCCCAAACAGCCGAAGAAAGACGCCAUCAGGUGGUCGUGAUGACGGGAGCUGCUUUUAGCGGCUAGACGACACUCCACCAGUUCGCGAGGAACACGGCGUUGUCGCUUGCGAGCGAUAGCUGAACACCACCGUGAAAAAUGCGUACCUCAUCGGCGGCGUCCAUUGUCGACGAUACGUGCAUGCCGAGCAGAUCGACAACAUCGGAGCGCUAAUCUAUCCAUUGUCGAAUAAUGGAAUAGACAUGAACAAGGAUCUGGACCGAAGUGGGAAGUACAGAAACAUAACUAUAUCUGUUAAGGCUGUCAAGAGAAAUAAAAAGUUUAAUUUAGUUCAGAGCUCCGGGCCUCUGGCAUGAGGGUGGCGGCAGCACCGGCCAUGAUACAAUAUUCGCUGAUGACGACAAAGCGGAUUGGGAGACGAUAAGGACAAGUACGUAGCGGAAAGAUAUAACAAAUUGGACCGAAGAAUAUAACAUGAUUUUCUCCGUUGCAGCAGAGUUCAAUGGUAAUGAAUAAAUAAAUAAAUAUAUAUAUAUAUAUAUAUAUAUAUAGGAAGAUAUGACGCUGAAUGAGUGUUCUAAACGCGCGUGGCAUGAUUGCUUUGUGUGUGUAUAUAAACUAAAUAGAAAACGGUUACGAAGGGAAAAAGGAGGAAGCGGUACACGCUAAUUCCAAGAAUAAUGAUUAUACGUCAGCUAUGAUUAUAGAAAUCAUUACGAUCAUGAUGGUGAUAAUGAAAUGUGCUAACUUGUCCAAGCAGUUCCAGCGGAAUAACCGAAGAAAGUAACCGAAGAAAACAAGACUGCUUGACUAAAAAAAAUAAUAAAAUGGCCAAGGGAGAGUAGCAAGCAAGUCUCAAAGUGCGGAAAUAUCAGCUCUGACAAUACCGACGACGGCUAUUUCUGAUGCCAAGAUUCGCAGUAGAAACAAGAUGAAAUUAAGAUGCCCGAGCCAAAUAUCCUCCUAUAUGGCCAGGCUGCAUUAUGUACACGUAUGUAAAAAUAAUACAAGAAAAUAUGAUAGCAGAAAUAUGUGGAAGAACGGUACGCGGAACCGGAAGCCAUACGU